rnacentral:tRNA from 1 species
GCCGACGUGGCUCGACACAGAAAGGCGUCCGCGUUGUAAGCGGAAUCAUGCUGGUGCGAAUCCAGUCGUCGGCUC